ensembl:lncRNA
CGGGGGUUUACGACACCAACUGUCUGCCAUCUAUAAUCCAGUUUUGAGAUCCCUUCCCAGACGCCUUAACGCCCACUCACAUCCUGGGCCAUCUGAUCUCAGGAAUUCGCAUGAUAAGGUGGGGCCAGGUUUCACAAUGAACUCACCCGAAACUCUGGCUGAUUGGGACCCACACCCAGUUUCACACCUUGGCUCAGGCGAUUAGAGGAUCAUCAGGGGGUCCUUUUGUCCCUCUGUGGGGGGAUACUCCCACUAGGUUUAUAUCUGGGACUCUCCACCAUUUCACCUUAGAACUGAAGAAGCUUCUCGGAUGAGAGGUGAAACGUCUUCAAGUAGCUGAAAGAAGUCCAGACGCUUUUCUUUGCAAGCUCCUUUGAUUGCAAGGGUGUGUUGGACAGAUUAGUCAAAAAAAUUUGAAUGUAUGUGUUUUUGUGUGGGUUGGUUUUUUUUUUUACUCUUUUUCUUGAUGCUAAAUUUUCAGCAGUGUCACAUUCUCAUGUUAAAAGGUGAAGAAUUCAUGUGUCUUAUCUGUAUGUGGUGUGAUUGUUUUUUAUUCCUACAGCAGUACAUAAAUCAUACUGAGUUGAAUGCCUUUAAAACUAAGUAUACACAAUUAUACAUUUUCUUUCCUUUUUUUCCUUUUUAUUUCUUUGUUUAUAUUUUGCAGUAUGCAAAGUUUUCCUUGGUAAACACUCUUUGGGUUUUUUGUAAAAUGCGUGGCAUGAUAGGGAGUCAAAUCCCCGACCUGUAUUGUUAUUUCAGUCUUUCACCACCACGGAUAAGAUCCACCUAUUUGUAAGAGAAGUCUCUGAGUGAAGCUUCCCUGUCAGGAUUGAUUUUAAACCUGUAAAGAAAACUUCAGACUCAAAGACGUGACCUACAGUAGGUUUCAUUUAUUUUAUGUUUUUGAUUACGGAGCCAGCUGGCAGCAGAAACAGAGAGACUUUUUUUAUUAUUUCAUAAAAAAUGGCAAUAAACAGAUGUUCUGUAGCACAAAAUGGUUGCUUAAAGUUUAUAUCUGGAGAACAGAAAGGAAAUGAUCUCAAAUGAUGCCAGAGCUUUCUGUCGUCUGUCACAGUGUUCUCUCUCGUUCUUUCUAUACAGUUUAUGUUGGCCCCAGCUGCACUUCUCAACAUCUGCAGUUGACUGGGUAAGAUGUUUGGCACCUACUACGUUGUUACUACAGUGUUUUGCUCAUUAGGGACAGUUCCAACCACUUUUACGUAAACCUUGCAAGUUCAUCAAUGUACAUUCCUCAACUGCAGCUGAACAUAAAUAUAGAUUAAGCGAGACAUCAAAUAAUUUAGUGUACAACCCCCCCGCCCCAACACAAACACACACGCGCACACACUUGUUUCUGCACAAGAGGAUU